UGAAAAAUGCUUACACAUGCAGUCGAUUCAAGUUACCUUCGGGUAAUGAGGAUGGCGGACGGGUGAGUAACGCGUAAGGAACUUGCCUCUUGGACUGGGACAACUGUUGGAAACGACAGCUAAUACCGGAUAUUAUGAGAUUCUCGCAUGAGAAACUUAUGAAAGCUAUAUGCGCCAAGAGAGAGCCUUGCGUUCCAUUAGCUAGUUGGUGGGGUAACGGCCCACCAAGGCGACGAUGGAUAGCCGGCCUGAGAGGGUGAACGGCCGCAAGGGGACUGAGACACGGCCCUUACUCCUACGGGAGGCAGCAGUGGGGAAUAUUGGACAAUGGACCAAAAGUCUGAUCCAGCAAUUCUGUGUGCACGAUGAAGGUCUUCGGAUUGUAAAGUGCUUUCAGUUGGGAAGAAGCAAGUGACGGUACCAACAGAAGAAGCGACGGCUAAAUACGUGCCAGCAGCCGCGGUAAUACGUAUGUCGCAAGCGUUAUCCGGAUUUAUUGGGCGUAAAGCGCGUCUAGGCGGAAAAAUAAGUCUGAUGUUAAAAUGCGGGGCUCAACUCCGUAUUGCGUUGGAAACUGUUUUUCUAGAGUACUGGAGAGGUGGGCGGAACUACAAGUGUAGAGGUGAAAUUCGUAGAUAUUUGUAGGAAUGCCGAUGGAGAAGUCAGCUCACUGGACAGAUACUGACGCUGAAGCGCGAAAGCGUGGGGAGCAAACAGGAUUAGAUACCCUGGUAGUCCACGCUGUAAACGAUGAUCACUAGGUGUUGGGGGUCGAACCUCAGCGCCCAAGCUAACGCGAUAAGUGAUCCGCCUGGGGAGUACGCACGCAAGUGUGAAACUCAAAGGAAUUGACGGGGACCCGCACAAGCGGUGGAGCAUGUGGUUUAAUUCGACGCAACGCGAGAAACCUUACCAGCGUUUGACAUCCUAAGAAGUUUCCAGAGAUGGAUUCGUGCCGGCUUGCCGGAACUUAGUGACAGGUGGUGCAUGGCUGUCGUCAGCUCCUGUCGUGAGAAUGUUGGGGUUAAGUCCCGCAACGAGGGGAACCCCAAUUGGAUGGUGGCACCCAUUAAGUUGAGCCCUCCAGGCGAUACUGCCUGCCAAUAACCAGGAAGAAAUGUGGGGGAAUGACGCCUAAGUCGUCUACGGCCCCUUAUAUCCUCUGUGUCUGCCCAGUGGCUAUAAUAGGGGUGGUUAACCAAAGUUCUCC
rnacentral:rRNA from 1 species